rnacentral:rRNA from 1 species
CCUACGGGUGGCUGCAGUGGGGAAUAUUGGGCAAUGGGCGCAAGCCUGACCCAGCAACGCCGCGUGAAGGAAGAAGGCUUUCGGGUUGUAAACUUCUUUUAAGAGGGAAGAGCAGAAGACGGUACCUUUUGCAUAAGCCACGGCUAACUACGUGCCCGCAGCCGCGGUAAUACGUAGGUGGCAAGCGUUUUCCGGAUUUACUGGGUGUAAAGGGCGUGUAGCCGGGCAGUCAAGUCUGAUGUGAAAUUCCGGGGCUCAACCCCCGAACUGCAUUUGAAACUGUUGGUCUUGAGUAUCGGAGAGGUAGGCGGAAUUCCUAGUGUAGCGGUGAAAUGCGUAGAUAUUAGGAGGAACACCAGUGGCGAAGGCGGCCUGCUGGACGGCAACUGACGGUGAGGCGCGAAAGCGUGGGGAGCAAACAGGAUUAGAUACCCUAGUAGUC